rnacentral:snRNA from 9 species
AUACUUACCUAGCGUAGACAUACCGUGAUCAUGCAGGCGGUUCCCCCAGGGUGAGGGUGCUCCAUUGCACUGCGGAGUGGUUGGCGGUUGACACUUGCGAUUAUCCUUAAUUUUUAUAAGUUUCACUUCUAGUGUGUGUGAGUUGCACACACACAUA